AGAAAACUGCUUUGGAGCGUCGGCCAAAAAGAGACGCUAAAUGGCAAAAAGCGGACGCUAUAAGGUACUUAGCGUCAGCUUAGCGUCUACAUCGUGGCAGACACUUAAAUGCCCGAAGCUAGACAGUUGCGUCCAGCAGACGCUAUUUGGCGUCCGUCCCGUUAGAUGCUAAGUGGAAGCUAGUGACAUGUAUAUGAGGCAGACGCUAGUAGCUUCGAUUUUUGGGUGACGCUACACAUAUAUAUUGGUGUUAUAAAACGUCACCCUUAGAGUCCGCUUGACAGAUGCUAAAUGUAGCGUCUGCUCUAAAUAGAUGCUAUAUUUUAGUUUCUGAAUUAUAUAGCGUCUGCUAAAGCAGACGCUUUUGUUUUAUUAUUUUUUAAUUUAAAAAACUCAUCCUAGAAAGGAACCUAUCCUGUAUUUCUAAAAAUACAUCAAAAAAUUAUUAUCUUUCAUAGUUUGCUACCAUAAUUUCUCACAACCAUAAAAUCUCUACCAAUAUAUUCAUUAAAAUAUCAAAACCAAAGAUAACAAUCAUAAAAUCUCUACCAAUGUACUCAUUAAGGUCAUCAAAAC
rnacentral:lncRNA from 1 species